rnacentral:rRNA from 1 species
AGGACGAACGCUGGCGGCGUGCUUAACACAUGCAAGUCGAACGAUGAUCCGGUUUCGGCCGGGGAUUAGUGGCGAACGGGUGAGUAACACGUGACUAACCUACCCUCGACGUGGGGAAUAACCUCGGGAAACCGGGGCUAACACCGCAUAACAUCUACGGAUCAAAUGCGUAAGCAGCUUGAGGAGGGGGUCGCGGCUGAUUAGCUAGGUUGGCGGGGUAAUGGCCCACCAAGGCAGUGAUCAGUAG